rfam:Clostridium saccharobutylicum DSM 13864, complete genome.
AUUUUUUGAGGUGAGAAAAGGCUCCUCACGCGCUAUAUAACUUAGUAAUCAGAGAUGCAGGAUACGCCGACCUGCCAAAAAUA